rnacentral:piRNA from 1 species
GCUAACAGAUCAGGACGCCCCCAGCACCCC